UGGGGAAUAUUGGACAAUGGGCGCAAGCCUGAUCCAGCCAUGCCGCGUGGAUGAUGAAGGCCUUAGGGUUGUAAAAUCCUUUUAACGGGGAAGAUAAUGACGGUACCCGUAGAAUAAGCCCCGGCUAACUUCGUGCCAGCAGCCGCGGUAAUACGAAGGGGGCUAGCGUUGCUCGGAAUUACUGGGCGUAAAGCGCACGUAGGCGGCUCUUUAAGUCGGGGGUGAAAUCCUGGAGCUCAACUCCAGAACUGCCUUCGAUACUGAAGAGCUCGAGUCCGGGAGAGGUGAGUGGAACUGCGAGUGUAGAGGUGAAAUUCGUAGAUAUUCGGAGGAACACCAGUGGCGAAGGCGGCUUACUGGUCCAUUACUGACGCUGAGGUGCGAAAGCGUGGGGAGCAAAC
rnacentral:rRNA from 1 species